rnacentral:rRNA from 1 species
UACGGGGGGGGCAAGCGUUGUUCGGAAUUACUGGGCGUAAAGGGCUCGUAGGCGGCCAACUAAGUCGGAUGUGAAAUCCCCAGGCUUAACCUGGGAACUGCAUCCGAUACUGGAUGGCUUGAAUCCGGGAGAGGGAUGCAGAAUUCCAGGUGUAGCGGUGAAAUGCGCAGAUAUCAGGAGGAACACCGGUGGCGAAGGCGGGUCUCUGGGCCGAUACUGACACUGAGAAGCGAAAGCGUGGGGAGCGAACAGG